rnacentral:lncRNA from 1 species
CUACCGUGGCCAUGCCUCCAGGGGGUGGAAAUGGGUAGUGUCGGCCAAGAUCUGCCCCGUCGAGCAGAUCAUAUGCUUGGAAAUGGAUGGCGUCGGCUGAGAUCUACCCCACCGAGUGGAUCUUUGCCGCAUCGGGGGUUGCCACCGAUGGGAAGGCAUACUGGUGGAUGAUAACGGAGGAGGUGGUGGCGCGUACGAUCCAAUAAUAGACGUGUGAACGGCAAUCGUGAGGUCAGAGGAAAGAGAUCUGUGGAAAGGAGAGCACCUGCGAGGGAUUGAAGGGGAGAGCCCGACGCCGCUAAGGAUCAGGAGGAGAGCACUGGUAGAGACCGAUAGGAGAGCAAGGAGGAC